rnacentral:rRNA from 1 species
UACGUAGGGGGCAAGCGUUGUCCGGAAUCAUUGGGCGUAAAGAGCGUGUAGGCGGUCCCGUAAGUCCGCUGUGAAAGUCAAGGGCUCAACCCUUGAAUGCCGGUGGAUACUGUGGGACUAGAGUCCGGAAGAGGCGAGUGGAAUUCCUGGUGUAGCGGUGAAAUGCGCAGAUAUCAGGAGGAACACCGAUGGCGAAGGCAGCUCGCUGGGACGGUACUGACGCUGAGACGCGAAAGCGUGGGGAGCAAACAGG